rnacentral:tRNA from 1 species
ACCUGGCUGGUUCAGUAGGAAGAGCAUGUGACUCUUGAUCUCCAAGUCGUGAGUUCGAGCCCCACGUUGGGUG